AUACGGAGGGUGCGAGCGUUGUCCGGAAUCACUGGGCGUAAAGGGCGCGUAGGUGGCUCGUUAAGUGGCUGGUGAAAUCCCGGGGCUCAACUCCGGGGCUGCCGGUCAGACUGGCGGGCUCGAGCACGGUAGGGGCAGAUGGAAUUCCCGGUGUAGCGGUGGAAUGCGUAGAGAUCGGGAAGAACACCAGUGGCGAAGGCGUUCUGCUGGGCCGUUGCUGACACUGAGGCGCGACAGCGUGGGGAGCAAACAG
rnacentral:rRNA from 1 species